rnacentral:lncRNA from 1 species
UGAUGCGAAAUAUAUAAGCACACAAAAUUAAACCCUCUUUUUAUCAAUUGUAGUAAAGUAUGUAAGUAGGGAUCGUUCUAGGCCGGGGAUUAGGAGGGAUUGCUAAAUCACUUUGGAAACUGACUUGAAAACGUAAAAAACAAAGUUUAAAACAAUAACUAGACUCAAAGAAUGCAAAACUAUACUUUAAAACACUAAAACAAACCAAAAGACUCAAAACAGCCCCUAAACACUCAAAACUACCUUAAACACACAAUAUGGGCAGUUUUGGGACUCUAACACAAACUUGGACGAAUUUUGGUUUUCUAAUGAACUAAAACACUUAAAAACAUA